UCCUCUGUAGCUCAACGGAUAGAGCACGUAAUGUUAGUGCGCGCGAGCGGGUUCGACUCCCGCCAGAGGAA
rnacentral:tRNA from 1 species